rnacentral:rRNA from 1 species
GAGUUUGAUCAUGGCUCAGGACGAACGCUGGCGGCAGGCCUAACACAUGCAAGUCGAACGAGAAGCGAUCCUUCGGAAUCGUGGAAAGUGGCGAACGGGUGAGUAACGCGUGGGAACCUGCCCUUUGGUGGGGGACAACCGCUGGAAACUUGGACUAAUACCGCAUAAGCCCUUUUGGGGAAAGCUUUAUAACCAAAGGAUGGGCCCGCGUAGGAUUAGCUCAUUGGUAGGGUAACGGCCUACCAAGGGGACGAUCUGUAGCUGGUCUGAGAGGACGAUCAGCCAUACUGGGACUGAGACACGGCCCAGACUCAUACGGGAGGAUGCAGCAGGGAAUAAUGUGCAAUGAGCGAAAGCUUGACACAGCGACACCGCGUGUGGGACGACGGUUCCAGGAUUGUAAACCACUUUCAGGAGGGAAGAAAAUGACGGUACCUCCACAAGAAGACCCGCCCAAUUAUUUGCCAGCAGCCGCGGUAAUACAUAGGGGUCAAGCGUUGUCCGUAUUUAUUGGGCGUAAAGAGGUGGUAGGCGGUUCAACAAGUCGGUCGUAAAAGUAUAGGGCUCAACCCUAAAAUGUCGAUCGAUACUGUUGUGACUAGGAUACGGUAGAGGUGAAAGGAAUUCCGAGUGUAGCGGUGAAAUGCGUAGAUAUUUGGAGGAACACCAAUUGGGAAGGCAGUUCACUGGACCGUGAUUGACGCUGAGGAGCGAAAGCUAGGGGAGCAAACAGGAUUAGAUACCCUGGUAGUCCUAGCUGUAAACGAUGGAUACUAGAUGUAGGAAGCAGAUUGACGGGUUCAGUAUCGUAGCUAACGCAUUAAGUAUUCCGCCUGGGGAGUACGGUCGCAAGACUAAAACUCAAAGGAAUUGACGGGACCCCGCACAAGCGGCGGAGCAUGCGGUUUAAUUCGAUGAUACCCGUAGAACCUUACCAGCACUUGACAUACAGGGAAAACCCGGAGAAAUCCAAUGUGCGUUAGCGCCCUAUACAGCAGGUGCAUCACGGUCGUCAUCUGGUGUCGUGAGAAGAUGGGUUAAGUCCUGCAACGAGGGCAACCCCCCUCAUCUGUUGCCAGCAAGUAAUAUUGGGGAGUCAUAGGAGGAGGCCGGCGAUCAACCGGAGGAAGGAGGGGGGGACGUCAAGUCAUCAUGCCCGUCAUGUCCAGGGGGGCAACCCUGGUACAACAGCAAGUACAACGAGUGGCAAUGACAGGAGGAGGAGCAACUAUACCAAAGAUUCUUUCAGUUGUGAUAGGAGUAGUCAACUAGUCUCCUCCAAGAAGUAGUAGUCAGUAACCGCAAAUCAUCAAAGUGGCGGGGAAAACGUUUUCGGGGUCUGUACACACCCCCCCUCAAGUCUCGGAAAUCGGCAAUACGCCAAACCAGUGGUGUAACCCCUUGGGGAAGAAGAUCUCCAACGUAGGGUUCGUAACUGGGAUUAAGUCGUAACAAGGUAACC